GCGCGAAAAGUUGCGAACCGUGGUCUCGGUAUUGCGGACCUGUGCGUGUGGUGGUAGGCGCCGAACGAUUUUAGGGUCAAUCGCACGUUUUAGAGUAUUGCAGUACUCAGUGCUAUCGUGUUUUUAGUCUUGCGAGGAUUUGAGUGAAAGCGCUCAGCAACCGUUGUGUUCAACCCUUUUCUUUGAAGGCCGGAGUAACCCAAAAAUCCAUCCACCAUGGACGCGAUUAAGAAGAAGAUGCAGGCGAUGAAGCUGGAGAAGGAUAAUGCCGCCGACAAAGCCGAUACCUGCGAAAACCAGGCCAAGGAGGCCAACCUCCGUGCCGACAAGAUCAUGGAGGAGGUCGCUGAGCUGACCAAGCGUCUGACUCAGGUCACUGAGGAUCACGAGAAGUUCAAGAACACCCUGGAGCAGGCCAACAAGGACCUCGAAGAGAAGGAGAGGACUCUGACCUCCACCGAGGCCAACGUUGCCGCCCUGACCCGCAAGGUCCAGCAGGUUGAGGAGGAUCUGGAGAAAUCCGAAGAACGCUCGGGCGCUGCUCUGUCCAAGCUGCUGGAGGCCACCCAGUCCGCUGAUGAGAACAACCGUAUGUGCAAGGUAUUGGAGAACCGUUCCCAGCAGGAUGAGGAGCGUAUGGAUCAACUGAGCAACCAGCUGAAGGAAGCCCGUAUGCUCGCUGAAGACGCUGACGGCAAGUCUGAUGAAGUGUCCCGCAAGCUGGCCUUCGUUGAAGACGAGCUGGAAGUCGCUGAAGAUCGUGUCAAGUCCGGUGAAGCCAAGAUCAUGGAGUUGGAAGAAGAGUUGAAGGUCGUCGGUAACUCGCUCAAGUCUCUGGAAGUCUCGGAAGACAAGGCUAACCAGAGAGUCGAGGAGUUCAAGCGCCAGCUGAAGUCCCUCACCAUCAAGCUGAAGGAGGCUGAGACUCGUGCCGAGAACGCCGAAAAGAACGUCAAGAAGCUCCAGAAGGAAGUCGACAGACUAGAAGACAAAUUGAUGAACGAGAAGGACAAGUACAAAGCCAUCUGCGACGACCUGGAUUCCACCUUCGCCGAACUUACCGGAUACUAAUCUCUCCAAUCUACUACUACUUCUACUAUUACAACUAGCAACUACUAGCGCUGCUAUUACUACUGCAACCAUCAGCGUCAGCUUGCCCAUAGCAAAACCAACAAACCACCACCGCCAACAGACAACUCAAAUCCAAGGAGAAGCGAUUCGGUUCGUUCCAUUUCUUUAGUCUCGCUCACAUUCUCUGUCUAUUGUCGUCUGUUACCGUCCGGGUGUGGGACGAUUGUGGAUGUCCAAUACCAACAUGCCCAGUGGGACCGAUUAUAACAGCAAAAAAAAGCUCCAGGGUGUAUCUGUUUCCCUCUCCCAGCGCGUUUUUGAACCCAAAAAAAAAUGUGAUUGACCGAGAAUCGGAUGUUGUUACGAUUUUUUGGCGAGAAAGUGAUUAAUGUUCUGUUUGAUAGACGAAUUGGGCGUCAACAAGGACAGAUACAAGUCUCUGGCCGACGAGAUGGAUUCCACCUUCGCCGAGUUGGCUGGUUACUAGGAGACAUUAGCAACUUUUCUACGUACUGCUUUUAACUUAUAUACAGAAACAACUGUUUGUAUCUUACAUACAUACAACCAUUUUUACUUACACCAAGAGAUAGAAAACGGUUUGAUUUAGAACUUUUCCUCGUGGUCCCACUGCAGAAGCAAUGCACUAAACGAUCGCACCAUCAUCACCACCGUCACUAGAAAGUAGCAGCGAACGAAGAAGAAAAACAGAGAGACAUGAAAUGAAACGCUCCGAAGCUCCUCCUCAACCAAAUAAAUAUUACACCUAAGACAUCGUAAUUUCUGAAAUAUUUUUGUUUUGAAGCAAGCAGCUUAAAAUUCAUGUCUUAUCGUAGGAAAAUAUUAGGGAAUAAUUUACUGAAUCAUUUGAUUAGUGAGUAAGAAAUCGUAGCUUUGUCCCACUUAGGAUUAAACAGAGCCGUAUUGUUGUUGUUGCAGCCAGAAAACAAGUUCAUGGUCAGAAGCCAAAGGAAGAUUACUGAACAAGCGAAGAUAAAAUUGAGAACCAUUCAAUGUAGAAAUUAUACCGUAGCGAAAAUAAGUUUUAGAACCCUAUUCAUUGGAAGAUUUGUAUAGGAAAAUCAUUUAGAAUCAUUGAUGACGGAGCCAGAAACGGGAAGACUCAAAUCGAUUCAGCAAAGUGUUGGUGUUGAGCCGAAAUCGCCGGAGUGUCACCCCGGAAGUCAUGUAUUAAUAAUAUCUUUUAAUAAAAAAAAUGUGAAAACUAAACUCCCAGACAUCUGCACUCGAUGCGAAAAUCUCUGCUCAGAUUCGGAUCGCAUGUCUUGGAGGCACGCGAUAACCGAGUUGUAUACUGGAAUCCUCUAUUUCUCUAUUUUUAUUAGAAGAAAUCGAAAAAAAAAACCUAUUUAUUGUAACGCUAAGUCUUGAUUUAUUUUUGUAUAAUAAACGUUUAAUUAUUAGCUAAGGUAA